GAUGAACGCUGGCGGCGUGCUUAACACAUGCAAGUCGAACGGACUUUAUAUGAAGCCUAGCGAUUAUAAAGUUAGUGGCGGACGGGUGAGUAACGCGUGAAUAACCUGCCCUGUACCGGGGGACAACAGUUGGAAACGGCUGCUAAUACCGCAUAAGCGCACGGUUCCGCAUGGAACAGUGUGAAAAACUCCGGUGGUACAGGAUGGAUUCGCGUCUGAUUAGCUAGUUGGCAGGGCAACGGCCUACCAAGGCGACGAUCAGUAGCCGACCUGAGAGGGUGACCGGCCACAUUGGGACUGAGACACGGCCCAAACUCCUACGGGAGGCAGCAGUGGGGAAUAUUGCACUAUGGGGGAAACCCUGAUGCAGCGACGCCGCGUGAGCGAAGAAGUAUUUCGGUAUGUAAAGCUCUAUCAGCAGGGAAGAAGAAAUGACGGUACCUGACUAAGAAGCACCGGCUAAAUACGUGCCAGCAGCCGCAGUAA
rnacentral:rRNA from 1 species